UACGGGGGGGGCAAGCGUUGUUCGGAAUUACUGGGCGUAAAGGGCGCGUAGGCGGCCUUCUAAGUCGGACGUGAAAUCCCUCGGCUUAACCGAGGAACUGCGUCCGAUACUGAAAGGCUUGAAUCCGGGAGAGGGAUGUGGAAUUCCAGGUGUAGCGGUGAAAUGCGUAGAUAUCUGGAGGAACACCGGUGGCGAAGGCGGCAUCCUGGACCGGCAUUGACGCUGAGGCGCGAAAGCUAGGGGAGCAAACAGGG
rnacentral:rRNA from 1 species